rnacentral:rRNA from 1 species
CGGAGGGUGCAAGCGUUAAUCGGAAUUACUGGGCGUAAAGCGCGCGUAGGCGGCUUGGUAAGUCGAUUGUGAAAUCCCCGGGCUCAACCUGGGAAUUGCAGUCGAGACUGCUUGGCUAGAGUGUAGGAGAGGGUGGUGGAAUUCCCGGUGUAGCGGUGAAAUGCGUAGAUAUCGGGAGGAACAUCAGUGGCGAAGGCGACCACCUGGCCUAACACUGACGCUGAGGUGCGAAAGCGUGGGUAGCAAACAGGAUUAGAUACCCUGGUAGUCCACGCCGUAAACGAUGUCAACUAGGUGUUGGGAGGGUAAAACCUUUUAGUACCGGAGCUAACGCGUGAAGUUGACCGCCUGGGGAGUACGGCCGCAAGGUUA